rnacentral:tRNA from 1 species
GCCUCUAUAGCUCAGUCGGCAGAGCGCUUGUUUCGUAAACAAGAGGCCGGGGGUUCGAUUCCCCCUAGAGGCU